CCUACGGGUGGCAGCAGUAGGGAAUCUUCCACAAUGGGCGAAAGCCUGAUGGAGCAACGCCGCGUGGGUGAAGAAGGUCUUCGGAUCGUAAAACCCUGUUGUUAGAGAAGAAAGUGCGUGAGAGUAACUGUUCACGUUUCGACGGUAUCUAACCAGAAAGCCACGGCUAACUACGUCCCAGCAGCCGCUGUAAUACGUAGGUGGCAAGCGUUAUCCGGAUUUAUUGGGUUUAAAGGGUGCGCAGGCGGAAGAUCAAGUCAGCGGUAAAAUUGAGAGGCUCAACCUCUUCGGGCCGUUGACACUGGUUAUCUUGAGUGAGUGAGAAGUAUGCGGAAUGCGUGGUGUAGCGGUGAAAUGCAUAGAUAUCACGCAGAACUCCGAUUGCGAAGGCAGCAUACCGGCGCUCAACUGACGCUCAGGCACGAAAGUGUGGGUAGCGAACAGGAUUAGAUACCCCUGUAGUC
rnacentral:rRNA from 1 species